AUAUUGCAGGUAAAGACAUACCUGAGACUGUAAGAAAAAGAGGUUUAAUGGACUCACAGUUCCAUGUGGGUGGAGAAGCCUCACAACCAUGGCAACAGAAGCUCAGGCGAGGGGCUAAGGAAUGUUCAACUCUGCGCCUUCUACUUCACUCCAGGAAAUUCCUGAGAGGAAUGAGAGCAAGGCAUUGGAGAAGUCAGUAGACAUCCUACAUGUGGUGAGGGCACUUCCAUCACUGUCCUUGGAAUCACAAUCUCAGGACUGAAGGCAAUUUUCAGUGUUGGCCGUUGGCUGGUCUAACCCAUUCCAGUGCUGAAACCCCUUUACAGGCACCCCUUUGGAGAGACUCUUCUGUUCAGCCAGACACCCAGUGCUCCAUUCUGACCCUGCUGGGACUAUGGGUGAAAUAUUAUGGCCGAAGCUAUGUUGCCUGGAAACAAAACUUCUAUGAUGUCAGAGCCCAACCAUUUGUAUGUUGAAAUUCUGUUGUUUGAAAUUACCACCUGGAGGAAACAUCCUAUUUUCUAUUACCUUCUUGAACACAUGGGAAGCUUCAAACAAUUCAAUGUGUUAAUAUCAGAUGCUUUUGAUGUAAAAGUGGUAGGAGAGACUGGGAGUCAGUUGGAUAUGAAUUUAAAGAAAAAUAACUAGUAACACAGAACUUGGCAACUUACGUUCUUAUAAACAUGGACUAUUACAAACAUGACAAUUUCUAAUUGUCAUCACCCUAAAAUUUAUAUUCUAUGUACUAGGGAUGACAUAUAUUAAAUAUUCUGGUAUAUUUUUGUUAUAUAUUGAAACUGACCUGUAAUAAUUUUAAUGUUGUAAAUGAACACAGAAAUGAAAAGUUUGUACCUAAUGGGAAGAGAAGCAUCGCUUUAGACAUUAUGAGCCUUUGGGAUUUUCUUGUUUUCUGUGAAGAAAGGAGAAAUCUGAUUAUUUUCUGGAUUCGUAUUUGUUUAAGAAAUCAAUUCAUGUCUGAAGUGUGUCUUGUUGGGGUGAGCAAAAUAUUGCAGAUUUGCUCAACAAACAAGUUCAGACGUUGGACGUCAAGAAAAAAAUUAAAGUUCAGGUGUAAAUUAAUCUUAUUCAUCUUCUUGGCUUUGUACUGGAAGGAAUUUCAAAUAAACAUCAUCUCAGCCUUUUCCCAUUUGUUGUUGUUAAAAGCAAACUGUAUCUGCUGGAAGGACAGGUAAAGAGUGGUAGACAGUUCUGGGAUUGAUGAAGUCAUGGUUAAGGAGGUUUCUUUAAUUUGUUUGUUUCCAAAAAUAUUUGACCACCACCAUAUAAUGUCAUUCUUUCUAAACACGCAAUUUCUGAUUGUCAGCAAAUUUUCUUUAAUGUCCAAAGGAAUGUACCCAGGUCCCCAGAGAAUUAUGUGCGUGAAAGCAAUAUGUAAACAGUGGAACACUUGAUAAAUGUAAAGGGAUAUUAUUUCCUAAAAUCAAUCUCAUUGUUUUUAAACAAAUCAGAAAGGGAGAAAAUGGCUGGAGAAGAGGGAGAUGGUACAGCAAGGAUGAGAGCAAAUCCAGGGAGGAGCUGGCUGGUCUGGUGCAUCCUGGUCUGCUUAGACUGUGAGGCACGUUUUGCCUGGUUCAGGGGCAUUCAGAUACAGCACAGGAUGGGAGGCAGACUGGCUAGUGAGAGGAUUCUGGAGGAAUCUGUGAGGACUGUUAGAAAAUAUCACAGCCUCCUUCUCCUGUGGGCUUACUGUUUCUGUCAAACACAGACUCCAGGAUUGUAAAUCUAUUUAUUUGCUAUCUCAGUUUUACUUGAUUAGAUACUUUGGGAGACCGUGUUGGGGGUGGGAGGUGAGCAUGUUUGAUGACCCCAAAACUGCGAGAUGAAGAAUGACUUCUUAAACCUGAUCCAUUUAAAUCGUUGAUUUUUAUGACAGCAACCUUCUGUCUUUGUGUUGUUUGGGUUUGCAGGGCUGCUGCUCUGAGAGUCGCCUUACAGUCACCGAGAUCAUUGUUCAGGUAACCGUCACCAGAAAGUGCCUAGGUUAUGGGCUCAUGAUCUUAAUGACUUGGCUUUCUACCCACCUGUGAUUUUAAAAAUAAGCUAUUCUUAUUAAAAUUAUAAAAUUUGCAAGUCUCAUAUAAAAGGGAAUAUCUUUAUCCCAUGCAGAAGGAUAAGGGUUUGGGGGACUCCCAAGAGCUGGGUUUGAAUCCUGGUUCUAGGACUUGCUGGCUAUGUAAUCUUAAGCGAAUCACAGAAUAUCCUUGAGCUUGUUCUCUUGUUCAUCAAAUUCCAAUGCUAAUAUGUACCUCACAGACUUGUUGAAGAUGCAAUUAAACAAAUAUUUACAGAGCUU